UGGGGAAUCUUGCGCAAUGGACGAAAGUCUGACGCAGCCACGCCGCGUGAGUGAAGAAGGCCUUCGGGUUGUAAAGCUCUGUCGUCCGGGACGAAAAUCUUAUAAGUGAAUAGCUUAUAGGACUGACGGUACCGGGAAAGGAAGCACCGGCUAACUCCGUGCCAGCAGCCGCGGUAAUACGGAGGGUGCAAGCGUUGCUCGGAAUUAUUGGGCGUAAAGGGUAGGUAGGUGGUCUCAUUUGUCUGGGGUGAAAGCCUUGAGCUUAACUCAAGAAGUGCCUCAGAAACGGUGAGACUGGAGUCCUGGAGAGGGGUCGUGGAAUUCCCGGUGUAGCGGUGAAAUGCGUAGAGAUCGGGAGGAACACCAGAGGCGAAAGCGGCGACCUGGACAGGUACUGACACUCAACUACGAAAGCGUGGGGAGCAAACAGGAUUAGAUACCCUGGUAGUCCACGCUGUAAACGAUGAGUACUAGGUUUGGCGGGUCUUGACCC
rnacentral:rRNA from 1 species